ACUUAUGGCCAUACUAGUCUGAAAGUGCCAGAUCUCAGAAGCCAUCCAUACUCGGGCCUGGUUAGUACUUGUAUUGGAGACCAACUAGGAACCUCAGGUGCCGUAAGCU
rnacentral:rRNA from 1 species